UACAGAGGGUGCGAGCGUUAAUCGGAAUUACUGGGCGUAAAGCGUGCGUAGACGGCUAUCUAAGUCGGGUGUGAAAGCCCCGGGCUCAACCUGGGAAUUGCAUUCGAGACUGAAUAGCUAGGGUACGGUAGAGGGAAGCGGAAUUUCCGGUGUAGCGGUGAAAUGCGUAGAUAUCGGAAGGAACAUCAGUGGCGAAAGCGGCUUCCUGGACCAGUACCGACGUUCAGGCACGAAAGCGUGGGUAGCAAACGGG
rnacentral:rRNA from 1 species